GAGCGCACUAAAGCGGGUCGGUGGGUUUAUAACAAUUCAGUGAGAGUGCUUGUAAUUUAAUUAAUCUAAAAACUUGGAUGUAAGAGAGUCACUAAAUCAAUGUGGUCUUUGCCUGGUCUAGGUAAAUAUUAAGGGUUUUUUCGGUCCUAGUUCAUAGUUUUAGGAGCAUGUUGCUUGAUUCAUUUGAAGGGCUGACUCUCUCAGCAGCAUCUGUUACUGCUGAUGAGAUGAGUCAUUGGAUGGGAAGUUCACAUCUGCAGUUUUCCACCAGCAGAGGAGGAAAGCACAACACAGGAUUAUAUCUCAAAUAAACGUAAUUAAACGACUAGUGGUAUACUGCUUUUGAUCAGUUCAGCAUCUUCUGGUUUAAAUUCUGGUUUAAAAUCUGGUUCAAAUAAUUGAUUCUAAGUACAUUAUAUUUUCAGCAAGGAAGCAUUAAAUUGCUCAUAAGUGACAGUGAAAGCGUUUAUUGAAAUAGAAAUAGAAUUUAUUUGAAAUAGAAGUUUUUUGUAACAUUAUGAAUGUCUUAACACACAAUUUAAUUAGUCCUUGCUGAUUCAGCAUUCAUCACAUGUUCAGCUUUGCAUCACAAUAAUAAAUUACAUUUGAAAAUAUAUUCAAAUAGAAAACAGUUAUUUCAAAUUGUGAUAACAUUUCACAAUAUUAGUAUUACAGGUGAGGUGCCCUCUCCGCUUCCUCCAGAUCAACAGAGAACUACACACCUGCAGUUCAUCACACACACUAUUUAACCAGGCACACACACACACACACACACACACACACACACACACACACACACACACACACAACAUUGCAAAGUCUUGAUUUGCUAAGGUGGUCAAUUCUGAGCGUUUCUUUUGUGGACUUUGUGGACUGUGUUUGAUCUUGGACUGUUUACUGUUGUUUGAUUCUCUGCUGGAUUGUGAUUGCAAGCCGCCUGCCCAUGAUCUUUUGGACUGUGUAUGUUUGCCGCAUGCCUUGACCCAAGCCUGUCCCUGUUUACGAUUCUGUUUUGCCUUCUCUAUUGACACUGCUGUGUCUCGACACUGUACUGUUUGACUCUGACCAAAAUAAAGCUGUAUUUUUCAUCACAUAAAUGCAGCAUUGGUCAUUCAUGCUGCAUCGAGAAUUGCCAUAGUAAUUCAUAUCAUCGACAUGCAGGGAAAAAUGGGGCAAUGUCAUACGUUUUUGUUUAAAAAACAGCGUGCACAAGAUGGCACCUGUGAGCUUCGGUGAUGCGAGUGUGUGCAUGUUUACUUGGCGGAAACCCCUGCAGAAGGGCCAGGACACAUGCCCACGAUGGAGUCGAGGGAGGGAGAAGCCAUGGGAGAGCCUCUGCAGGCGAGACCAGGGAGAUACUAGGACGGUGUAGGUUCAACGGCCUUGGGUGGAGCUGAAAUUGGCUCUUUUUAAUCUCUCUCUAUUUAACCCACCUCUGGUAUGUGAUGCUGAAGUCUCACAUGAGUUUCUAAAGGUUUUUUUGUAUUCUUUUCACUGUUCUGAACAUUGAUAUUAUGAAAUCUGAUCAGAUGUUGUUGGCUACUAAUUGGUCAUCAUGGCCUGAUUCACUCUUCCUUGUCUAAUCUCCGAUUAAUUAUUUAAUAUUGUGUUAGUUAUUAAUUUCACAUUGUUUAUUGUAGCCCUACAAUACUACUGCAUAAAAUCCUGCAAUGCUUUGAUAUUUUGAAAGAUUUUAUAAAGUCAUUAUGCAGUAAAUAUUUUGACAGAUUCAUGUAGACAUCAAGAAUCAGCAUAUAAAUCUCAGUAAUGGUGACAGUCGAAAAAAUAUUCAGAACAGAUCAACUCUGAACAUCACAAAACAAGCUUUUUGUUGAUUGUCAGCAUUGUUGAGAUUCAUACGCUGUUUCUUGAUGUCUCUGUGCAUCUAAAAGGCACAGCUCAAAACAUUUUCUGUAUAAUGACUUUCAAAAAAAAUCAGAAUAUCUGUUUGUCACAACACUGAUGCCUUAUCACGAGACUGAUGUAAAUAAUGUGAAAUUAGAGUUAAUAUACUCAGAGAUUUCUACAUGAUGAUUAUAUCACGAAUAAGUAGACCAACUAAAGCAAACACUGAUCUCCAUAACGGUGGCAUUAAACUUUACUAUUUUCAAUAAAACAUCAACAUCUAAACCUCUGUUAAUUCUCAAUAAGAACUUUUGUGUGAAAUAAAUAAAGUCAAACCGAA